GGUUUAAUACAUUUGCAUCAAGUGUUGUCCCAGAUUAGUCUUUGCAGUCAGCACAGGCUAAUUAGGGAUAACACUAUCCGCCUUACCUGGAUUGUUUGGCCAAGAAGAGACUUCCUUCAAACAAACAAUACAAUGAAGGCGGAAAGUGUCGACCUGAUAAGCCUGUGUGGAAUGCACAGGCUAAUGUUGGACUACACUUUUAGCACAUGCACUGCUGUUAUCCCAGUUUUCUCAGAGUGUGGCUUAAUGGCUGUUACUGCAGUUUUGAAUCCCUCAUGUCAGAUAAAGCAAUAUUGCUAUUCCAAUGAUAUGUAUUAUUUUUACUUGUUAUUAAACAAUAAUUAAAUGUAUUCUGUAUUUUGAUAAACUUUUCCUUUUCAAACAAUUAACAUCUUUGUUCAUAAAAGAAAAAUUAAAUUGCCAAAGCUGCACUUCCUUCACAUUGCUAAAAUUUCAUUUCCUUCACAUAAGAAGCAAAUAUAUUAAGGUGUUCUAUUUCAUGUAAUCAUGGUAUCAAAAGAUCAUGUUAUUAUCAUGUGUUGGAGAAAAUGGCCAGAUAUUACUAGUAUAUCUAUAUGUAUUAUAUAUUGUGUAAAAUUCUAUUCAACUUUUAUGUGUUCUUGUUUAUUGUUAUGUUCAACAAUAUUAUUGCUUAUGAUGCAGGAAAUGUCAGUUGCUUCCACAUGUAUUGUAAAUAUUAUGUUUUACGUUAGAAGAUGAAAUUAAUAUAUCUUACAUGUUAAUAGUUUGAUUGUCACAUUAUCAACAUUUAAUUUUAACCUUGAAACUCUAAGUUUGAUUGUAUUUUUUCCUAAACACGUUAUAAUUUCCAUAUGCAACCCAUUUGAAGGACAGGAAGUUAUUUCACAUUAAAAAGGUACUCUCACAUAUGGAUUUUACAUGACUUAAUCAGAUUAUACCUGACCACUUUUUAGCUCACCUGAUUGCUCAGGUGAGCUUUUGUGACGGGUCUUUGUCCGUCGUCUGUCCGUCCACAUUUGUUUGUAAACACUCUAGAGGCCACAUUUAUUGUCCGAUCUUCAUGAAACUUGGUCAGAAGCUUUGUCCCAAUGAAAUCUCGGUCGAGUUCGAAACUGGGUCAUGCUGGGUCAAAAACAAGGUCAUUAGGUCAAAAAAUAGAAAAACCUUGUGAACACUGUAGAAGUCACAUUUCAUGCCCAAUCUUCAUGUAACUUUGUCAAAAUGUUUGUCUUAAUGAUAUCUUGGUUGAGUUUAAAAGUGGUUCCGAUCCGUUGAAAAACAUGGCCGCCAGUGGGCUGGGCAGUUUUCCUUAUUUGGCUAUAGAGAAAAAUAGAGAAACCUUGUGAACACUCUAGCAGUCACAAAUUUUGACCAAUCAUCAUGAAAUUUGGUCAAAACAUUGGUUUUAUUGAUAUCUCGGACGAGUUCGAAAAUGGUCCAGAUCGGUGAAAAACCAUGGCCGCCAGGGGUGGGGCAGUUUUCUCUAUUUGUAUAUAGUGAAAACAUGUGAACACUCUAGAAGUCACAUUUUUGGUCCAAUCUUCAUGAAAUUUGGUCAGGACAUGUGUUUUCUCGAUAUGACGGUUGAGUUUGUAAAUGGUUCGGAUCGGUAAAUAAAAACAUUGCCCCCGGAGGAGGCUGCGGGUCAUUUUCCUUAUAUUUAUAUAGUAAAAAAAGCUUGUGAACACUCUAGAAGUCACUUUUUUUGCCUUAUCAUCAUAAUUUUUUUCUAGACAUCGAUUUUUAUAGAUAUCUCGGACGUGUUUGAAAAUGGUCAUGAUGGGUGGAAAAACAUGGCCGCCAGGGGUGGGACAGUUUUCUCUAUAUGUAUUUAGUGAAAACAUGUGAACAGUAUAGAAGACACAUUUUUUGCCCAAUCUUCAUGAAAUUUGGUUAGAACAUAUGUUUCCUGGAUACGACAGUUGAGUUUGAAAAUGGUUUGGAUCGGUAAAAAAGCAUGGCCGCUUGUGAACACUCUAGUUUCCUGAUUUUCUUACAGUUUUGUCUGAGCUUUCCUCUUCCUUCCUGCUGGUUUACCUCUUCCUGACAUUUUGUGAUGCUUUUGUUAUAUAACUAAGAAAUAUCUCUGCAGAUUAAUGUAGAUUUUUAUGCCCCCCAGAUCGAAUGAUGGGGGCAUAUUGUUUUUUGCCCGUCAUUCUGUCCCAAAACUUUAACCUUGGUUAAAGUUUUGUGAUAACUUUUGCAGUAUUGAAGAUAGCAACUUGAUAUUUGGCAUGCAUGUGUAUCUCAAGAAGCUGCUUAUUUUGAGUGGUGAAAGGUCAAGGUCAUCCUUCAAGAUCUAAAGUCAUAAAAUACAAUCCAAGGGAAGUAAUAAGCUUUAAAAGGGAGAUAAUUUCUAAACCUGCCAAAUGAUUAUUGAAAUUUUAUUUCAAAGUGGCGCAAUAGGGGGCAUUGUGUUUCUGACAAACACAUCACUUGUUUAAUUUCGAUUUGUUUCUGUAGGUUAAAUCAUUGGAAUCCAAUGCCAGAAAGGAAGUGAUCUCAGAACCUUCUAUUUAUAGAAUGGACAGUAACUCUUACUCAUCAACAUACUCCACUGCGGGGAAUCACGUGGUUUUAUUUUGAUAGGAAACACGGAUAAUGGCGGCGUCAUUGUCUCGACUUGGUUUGUGUAGAAUAUGCGGCAAGGCUUUUCGAAGCGCCUCAGGAAUAAACGAUCAUGAAAGAAAACAUACGGGGGUAGCGCCAUACAGAUGUUGUGGACGGAUGUUCUACAGCAAAGCUAAUUUAACAAGGCACAUGUGCGCAGCACAUAAGGGAACUAAAGAGUUUGCCUGCGAGACAUGUGGGAGGUCGUUCGCAAUAAUGGCAGACCUAAGAGCGCACAUGACACAACACCAAGAAGCAACCUUUAAAUGUGACACAUGCGGACAUGAAAUGAGAAGGAGAGACCAGUAUGAUAAUCACAUGACUAUGCAUCUUUGGGCCAAGAAACAUGCAUUCAAAGCGGGAAGACAUAUACUCACAAGCCGAAUUUGUAUAGGCAUCAAAAAUUGUGCAAACAAGAUAACAGUACCAAUGCAGUUGCAAGCAAUAAUACGCCAUCAACUAAAGAAAAGGCUGAAACGUGUAAACGCUAUUUGUGUUUUAUGUUGUUUAUUUUUAUUUGCAAGUUUUUAAUUGUGCAAAAAAAUUUAACACAAUGUAUAAUAAGUGAUUUACUUCAAGUGAUUGUAUAGAAAUCGGGACUCCUCGGACAAUCCCGCCAUAACGGCGAUCGUCUCUCGGGUGUAUUUGGUGGAAGGAUAUGUCUAACGCCUCUAGGCGGAAGAUAUUACACCGAAAAUAUAGUUCGGGUUACACACCAAUAAACUUGCACUAAAUCAACCGAUAACAUAGAUAUAUAAGGACCAAUAUCUUUAAGGAGUAAUAUAAUAGAAUAUUUAUUAAUGUUAUUGUUUAAAAUUAGAUAUUAUUGCAUGCAAAAUAUUCUAAUUUUAAUGAAAUGUUAAGAAAGCCAAUAAGUUGUUUAUUGAAUUGAAAACAACAGAAUUAUUCAAACUUAAAAGAAUCAGUAUUUCUUAAAUUAUAUUCAUUGCAACAUUGCUGAUGUUCGGCUGCAGGCAACAAACUUUGAGAUUUAAUCGAUAUGUUUAUGUUCCAUACCAUAAAUAAUCGUACAACACUGUACAGUGAAAACUCUUCGGUGUAAUAUAACAAAUAGUAAACUCCACUUUGGUCCAAAUAGCAUUAUAGUUACCAGCCAGGGAGUCACAAACUGUAUAUGGACCAUAGCCAUACGACCCUCAGUGGGGCUAUUAUCAGUAUUGAGACACCUGAAAGGUUUCAUGGAAUGGAAUGAGUGGGGCUUGAUUGAAUUUGAAAAACGAUUUUUUUCUGUACAUUUGAUGAUGGUAACCAUACAGUACUUCUGGCAGAUAUUGUUUAUAUUUUAUCCUAGGCAUUUUAAUUCCAGAUGUUGUUAUCCCGGCCAGGCAACUAGCUUUUCAAAGCCUUAAACAAUCCAGUGCCAUUAAAAUUAGGGACAGUGUAACAAUGUUCAGUUUGGUAAUAUUAAUAUAUUAACUUUGCCCUUGGAAAUGAACUCAAUUCAGAAUGGCCUCUCAAAAUAAGACAUACUGUAUUGGAAAUGUUAAAACUGAGCAGUGGUGUUGUUAAAUUUUAUAGUAUUUAUCUUUUAAUACACUUUAAGAUACAUAUCACAGGCAUGCCCAUGGUUUUUGAUCGGUACUCUUGAGAUGGGAAACAAAAACACUAAAGUUGGUCGACAGUGCAGGCAACAAUUGUAAAAAUAUAUUUUUCAUCCCUGACUGCCAUUACUGACAUGAAGUAAUCUAACUGUAAUAUGUCUGGAAACAGUGUCAGUCAUACUUUUCAAAAUAUUGAUUUAUUCAUGCAUAUGUAUAUAUAUAUGUCAUACAAGUACAGAUCAUACAAUACAGUCAAUUUACAACAUUUAACAAUUGGAAAACAAUUAUCACAGGUUUUGGAUCACAAUGCAUUGAUAUAUCACAUUUUGAAUAUCACAGUCAAAGUUAAUCAUUUAAAUUCAGUUACAAGUAAAUAGUCAGUGUAUUUGGCAGAGAUCUGAAAUAAAAAGUAGUUACAAGAUGUUGAAAUCAAGACAUGAUAUAUAUACCACAGGAUGCGCCAUGAAAGGUUUGCAACUUAUUUCCAAUGGGGCCCUAUAGAUGGGUGGAAAAUGUACAAAAAUGGUGGCAUUAAUAUGCAUAAAAAUAUCAUUAAUAUAGUGUUGAGAUCAAAUAGUAAUAAGCAUAUAUUAUUAGAGAGCAUUAGUUACACAAUGUAUACUACUAUCUUGUCAUCACAUUUAAAUGUACGUACAAAUACUUUAUUGAUGACU